GCAUUUGUGGUACAGUGGUGAAAUGCUCGCCUGCCACGCAAACGAUCCGGGUUCGGUUCCCGGUCAAUGCA